CUAUGCACCACUUGUAAUGAGAGUAAGUGUUUAACCAGAUUUGUGACACUGACGUAUUUUGGUCCUUGUUAGAAACUGUAUUGAAUCAGAUACUUUUUGCGAGCAAUUCCCUUAUAAUGGCGACGAGAUCUUCAAUAUAUUUUAUAAUAUAAAUCGGUCUAGCGUAAUGAUUUGAUAUAUAAAUACAUGUUGUCAAAAGAUGAGAAUUGAGGAUUCUGAUGAUAAAUAAAUCUUCAUUUGGCAACAUGGUCUAAUUUAUGUUGCUUCGUAGAGAAGCAAAGAAUGCGAACUUUUACGGCAAAAAAAGUCAUGUUGAGUUAGGCCAAAUCAAGCUUUGAAUCCCUGUCAUAUAAGAUGUUUCCAGCAGAUCAAUGUUACAAAUUAUUAUUUUCCAUUAUCUUAUAAAAUCGCAAAUUUUUAUUGAAUUCUUAACUUUGGAAUAUAGUAGUCUGUUGAGACAGUGGACAGGGUUUGCUAAUUUAUAAUGCUUUAACUUUCUUAAACCACUUUUGGGUUAUCGAUGCUUUUCUUCUAUGAGUCAACAAAUCAACAACACAUGACUUGGUGCGCUGAGUGGAGUAAGAAAGGUUCAAUGCGAACACGAUAUUCUUUGUUUGAACCUUAAUAAAGUUAACAGAUAACUGGAUUAUAAGCGUACACAGCGAAAUGUUCUAGGAUUUUUGAAGUUCUGAUGUCUGGCCAAUCUAUGCGAACAAGCAUAUAAGCAUUAAGCUAAGAGUACGAAAAGCAGGAGCAAUUGUAGGCGUGUCAUUGCUUAGAAAAGUUGAACAAUUUCCAAAAAAUUCUGUAGCUGUGGCAAUAUGUAUGCGAUAUACCCGAUAAUAGCGUUAAUCACAACCGCAAAGACAGUAUUUGUAAUCCUUAGUAAAUUACAUAAAAGAAAGGGACUCGUAGCCGUUAUUAUUAAAUGCAGGUUAAGUAUUUAUUAACAGCAACAUAAAUUUGUCAUAUUAGUUUUAAAGAAAUCCCACAUUUGGUAAAAUGAUCAAAUACAGAUUAAUGGUAUUUUAACUGUCGGCGCAGCUAGCGACUGGCGAAAUGAUUAAAAACAAUGAAAUUUGCCAAUGAUAUAUUGCUUGAAGAAAAGCUAAUCAAGUCAAGAGAGUAAAAGCGUAAUAUUCAAAGGCACAAAACCGGAAGCAUUAUUGUAAUUCGUAACGUUGGAAAGUUCGCAAGACGCCAUUUCACGUUACAAUAGUUAAUACAUAUGUGUGUUUGAAAAGCAUUUUACCGAAAUAUUCAUCCUUGUACGUUACGGUUACAUGGAUUACACGAGUAAUAUUUGUUGGGCGCUGAAUUUACAAUCAAAGGCAAAUAUAUGUUGCAUAAGAUAUUAUAGUGAUAGCUCAUAAUAAAAUUUUGGAUUUUAAACUUUUUUCAUUAUUCCCAGAGCACAUUUUUAAUCUAAUGUUGAUUUUUCCUGUUAUUACAUUUAAAAUAAAUAAAUUUGAUUUUUUAAUCCUCGAUUUUUUUUUUAAUAAAUAUCAGCAAUAAUUUCGUACUCACUUUACUUGUAAUGACUAUAAAUAUAAAUUAUUCUGAUAAGCUUUCAAUAACAAACGAUAGAUUACCUAAAAAAAUAACGUUAUGAACAAUUUAUACUUAAGUAGCAAAAUGGAUUUUAAAAAUAUUUUUUUUUUUGUUUUACAA